rnacentral:lncRNA from 1 species
AUCAUUCUGACUUUAACAUAGGUGCUUUUGAGAAGUAAGUAAAAUCUAAAGUACAAAGGGUUUUGUAAAUCUUCUAAGGGUUCUAGACUUUGUUCAGAGAGCAGUGGGAAGCCAUUUUAGGGCUUUAGACAGUAGAGUGACAUAAUCAGAUUUGCAUCUUUAAAAAGUCAAUCUAGCUGCACUGUGGAGGAAAAUUCAGAGUGGGAAGACCUGCUAGGUGUCUACUGAAAGAGUCCAAACACAGCAUGAUAGUUGGCUCAAGUAGGCAAGUUGUAGUGGAGACACACAGAAGUUGCCAGUAUUAGAAGAGAUUGGACAGAAUUCAGUAGGGUGACGGAGAACAAGGAAUAUUUAUUAACUUCCUCUUAAGUGCCAGAUACUAAGUUAAAUGCUGAGGAUACCACACUGACCAAGACAGCAAGAAUUAGUGUCUGCCUAGAGUCUGGUGGAAAACAACACUAUGUAACUACAAGUAAAUGGAUCUUAUCAGCAAGUUAGACAGAGGGCCAUGGGAACCAAUGGACUCAUUUAGUUGGAGGAGUUCAUGCAAGGCUACAUGGAGGAGGUGAUGUUUUAAGCUGAGACUUGAAAAAAGGGUAGAAGCAAGUUAAGUGAAGGAGGGAAUGGGGGAGGGCAUUCUAAAGGGUAUAGCACCUAGGCCCUGAAAUAAGCGUGAGCAGGGUACACUCAAGAAACUGAAAGAAAUACAGUACAGUUGAAGCAUUGCAACCAGAAAGGAGUUGGGUGUGUGACAAGAAAUGAUGCAGAGAAGAUAAGCAUGAAUCAGAUCAUGGCCUCUUGAGUCCUCGUGUUACGGAUUUUGGUCUUUAUCUGAAGGGCAAUAGGAAGUCAUUGUAAGAGAUUAAGUUGGGCAGUAAAUGAUCAGAUUACAAUGUUUAAUAGAUCAGUAAAGCCUCAGUUUAGAGCAGAAGUCAGUAAACAUUUUCUAUAAAGGGCCAGAUGGUUUCUGUCACAACUAUUCAACUCUCCAUUGUAAUGCAAAAGCAUCCAUAGAUAAGUGAAUGGGCAGGCUGUGUUCCAGUAAAGCUUAGGCUUACAGAAACAGGCUGUGGGCCAUAGUUUGCCAACCCUUGCUGUAGAGAAUGAGAGGAGAGGAACAGGAAGAUUUGAAAAAAACAAACAAAAAUCAUUCGGGAAGGUAAUUCAGCAGCCAGAGGAGAAAUGAAGAUGGCUUGUACUAGGAGAAUUACAGAAGCCGCUUACGUUCUGGCCUGAUGGUUGGUAGUGUUACUUCAUGAGUUAGGAAAUGGUGGAGGAGGAUCAGGUAUAAAGUUAAGUGUGAUGUGUACAGAUUUUGACAUGUUGAGUGUGAGGCUUCUAUAGCUCAUCCAGAUGGGUUGUCUUAAUUCACAGUUGGAUUUGAAGGCUGAGCUCUCAGGAUAAAGUUCUGGAAUGAAGAUCUAGAUUGAGGAGUCAUCACCUGCAAAUUGUAAUUGAAGCUAUGGGAAUGAAUAUCAUCCAGAGAGAAGAGAGUCUGUGACAAUACCCUAAAGAGCAUCUUCAUUUAGAGGACAGGCAGAAGAUGCCGAGCCUAAGGACAAGAUUGAGAAGGAGAAGAGUGGCUGAUAGGGAGGAAGAAAAAAGAAGGAUAUUUUGAGGAAAAGUAGUAAACAAAAAUCAAGUGCUGCGGUGAGGUUAAGUAAGGCGGGAAAAUAAAACAAAAGCUUCUUCCUAAGGCCUUGUCCUUUCUUCAGCAAGAGAAGCUCUUUCUCAGCACACUUUGACAUACAUCUGAUUAGUCAGUACUGUCAGGUGACCACUACUAAAUACAAAGAAGUCUGGGAAGGCAUGCUGAAUUUUUAUUUGCUGUAUCUGGCAACCCU